UCCCAUACGAGAUCUGAUCGUAGAUCCUUACAUGUCUUUCCCCCUGGCUAGUUGAGCGAGAUGUCCUCUCCUUAUAUGUCCAUUUCACAUUAUUAAAUAAAUGCAAUUCCUAAUCCACGCGAUCGUCGUUUAGUAUCAUUCAUUCAUGUGUCAAAUAUCGUCACAUCGGCCUGAGGUUUAGGAAAGUCCAUUAGGUAGAUUGUAAUUAACAAGUAAAUCAACAAGUAAUUAACGCUAAGAUAAGGUAAUUAUCUUUUGUAUGUUUUGGCUUUAAAAAUAAAUAUCUUAAAAACGAAUCCCGUCUUUGACUGAAUUUGUUACCCGAUUUCAUCACAUUGGCGCCCGAGCAGUUACUUUAAAAGGAUUAUAUUUAAUUUUUAAUAAAAUUAAAAAAUCAAUUUUAAUAAAACUAAAGAAAGAUUCAAAUAAGCAAUAUAAUAGUCAGUUCACUUUAAUUCACUUUACCAAAAAUAGUCAUCCCUAUUGUUAAUUUUUAUAUGAAAAUCUCUGAACUAACACAUUGUUAAAAUUCAAAAUGGUACCUGAAUUCAAAAUAUGUUAUCUAAAAAAGCCGCCUUGAAAAAAAUCCUAAAUUUUCUCUAAAUCUAAAGCAUUAAUGAAUCUUAUCAGGCUCUCGACCUGCUAUACAAUACUUUCAUUCGUUAUAAAAAACGCAGUUCCUGAUUUCAAGAAGAAACAUAUUCACGUUGUUUUUUUGUUGUGUGACGGAAUUUAAUGUAAAGUAAAAUACUCGUCAGGUGAUGUUGUAGCUACUUCGUAUGCAAUAGGGAAUUUGCCUAAAAUUUUAAAUUCGAAAAAAAUGCUAUAAAUCAUAACAGAACGUAAUUUAAAACAUAUAUCAAAGAAAAAAAGUUUUUUUGUUUUUCGUUUGACCCCUAAAGACGAUUAAAAUCGAGAGAAAAUUCAAAUUAUAGCAGGAAGCCCAAAACGCGCCCUCAUUGGUCGUGACGUCAUAUCAUUAUAGUAUUUGAAGUCCUUUCCAUUAAUUCAUUAGAUUUGGCAUUCGUUCUGACACUUAGUUUUAUAGAUAUUUUGAUAGUUCUUUCCUUUCCUUCAAAAACUGUAUCAAACUCCAAUCUCAACAAACUAGUAUAUAUUAUUACAAUGAAAUGUCAUUAUAAAAUAUAAUGAUGUGACGUCACAAAUGUACGCGCGCUUUUUGGGUCGUUUGAAAUGGUUUAAAUACACAUAAGAUUUUAAAUUUGUACUUUUAAGUUAUUAUGAGUGUGAAAUUGGGGAAAUCUUAUUUUUAAACAAAAUUGAACAUUAUUAUGUAAAAAAAAUGUGCAAGUUCCCUAUUGUGCUAUAGUUGUUAUUUUGAUUAAGUUAAAGACAUAAACUGCACUUGAUUUUGACUUAUUUCGAAUGAUUUAUCUGAUGACAUAUCGGUAACCUUAAACGGUACCACCUAUAAACAAUUUCUUACACGAUUUACAUCUACUGCAUUUAUUAUUGGAUAUGUUACCGGCCAAACCCUAUUUCAGGACAAACUAGACUACCUCAAAAAAA
rnacentral:lncRNA from 1 species